ACAAAAUCCUUCCCUCCCCUUCCCUUCCUGCGAAGCCCUUGCCUUGGCCUCGGUGGUGUCCAUGGUAACCAAACAGGAAGCCCUACCUUUAGUCAAGGCCCUUGGAAUAAUAAGCAGGAGAUAUACAUCAUGUUGAGGGAGGGUGGCCUUAGCAAUGUGAGCCCCUAGAAAGGAAUGACUCAGCUGGAGAGUCGUGUUGAAUAGGGAAAAAAAAGCCACCAGGCUUCCAGAGCGAGUGGCAUUUAAUAUGGGUGAAGACAUUGACAAUGAACAAAGGGACUGUGCCAUGCUGGAGCCUUUGUGGGAAGAGGCUUAUAUUCCUCGAGCCAGGCUGUGUUCCUGCGCUCCCAGGAAAAGCCCAUGCUGGAAUUUUAAUACAGGAGGGCAGUGUGGGGUCCCUUGCCUGCUGCUCUUCCCGCUUGAGUCUCACCACAAACUACAAGCAACACCGUGUGGCCCAGCAGCCAUAGAGGUUGCUGGGGAGGCAAAGGCAGACCACUGCCUACGCCUACAGAGAAGCAGUGUCUCAGGGUGACGGAGAGGCCAGCGUUAAUUGACCUGGCCCUGCUGCUGGGAGCCACUGCUGAGCUGCGGCAGGAGAGCUGUGAUGGAGAUGAGACCCACUUGCAACUCACCAACAGGAAGUGAUGAGCGACAGUCAGCUGGUGAUUCAGACUGUGGGAGGGAGAGCAGCUCGAAGCCUAUUCACAGUUUUAAGUGGUUUACACAUCUCACACAUCCACGUACUAAUCUCAUGCUAUUUUUUGCAAUAGAGAAAUUUGGGGAGGAAGUAGUUUCAUGUUUUUCUUUAAGGGCUGAGGAAGAAAAGAUGAAGUUUUUCUUUCAAUUCAAGAAUAAUUAUUAUAAUUUUCCCUUCAGGGUGGACCAUGGCCUGCCUCUCUCUCUCUCUCUCUCUCUCUCUCUCUCUCUCUCUCUCUCCUAUAUAAUAUUACAAAAUAAAUAAGAGCUAUGGAAGAGUA